rnacentral:misc_RNA from 1 species
AUUCCAGUUAAACCUCUAAAUGUAUGUUCUUAUCUUAUUUUUGGUUUAUAUAUAUAUAUAUAAAUUAAGUUUGAAGUUAUGAUGGAGAUAGAAAAAUAUGAGAGCGAGAAGCUCUAGCUCUUUUUGAGGUGUUAACUUGUUUAUUUUGAAGCAGGAUGAUGGGCAACAUUGUCCAGAUUAUUGAAAUUGUAUAACUAAAGAGGAGGAUACUCCUAAAAACAUAGGAUAGUAAUGAAAGACUACUAGUUCUCUUUUGUUGCUUAAUAUUCUUUGAUUCUUUCUUUUCUUCAGUGGUUUUGACAGAAAGAUAUAUGAGUUUGGAAUUUGGAUUGUUCAGGCUCAUCUUAGUUUUAGCAACCUUUCAUUUUUACAGUCCUAACUCAAAUUAUUUUUCCUUUAUGGUUAAGUUUUUAUUUAGGCUGGUUUGAUAGGAAAUGGCUCUUUUGAAAUAUUUGUAAAUAGUAUGUUUGUUAGGAAGAAGAAAGAAGGGUUCUCUGGGGAUGUGGCAUGUUUUUACUUGUUUAGUGUAUUUGGCUGGAGUAUAAUGCUAGAGUUUGAAGACCAUAUUUAACUGCAACUUCUGUAGUACUUGAUAGUUUCCUUAGCUUUGUUAUGAUGU